rnacentral:lncRNA from 1 species
AGAGAGUCGAGGGUUCAAAGCCCAAGUUUAAGUCCGGCUCAGUCCUUACAAACUGUGUAGCUACAGGUGAUCUACAAAGUGUCCCUCCAGAUCGCUUUCCUACCUGCAAAGUGAGGGCCGGCAGGAGCGGCUGAGACCCUGAACUUAAACUUGAGCCCCUCCACUCCUGCCCUGCCGUCCCCAGGCCGUUCUUCACCUGCCUCUGAAGCUUUCCUUCUUUCAGUCACUUUUCCCUGAGCCACACUUGAAGCUCUCACCAGGUUCCUGAGACUGAAGCCCUUCCAGGGAACAUUCCAGAGGGACCUCUGUCUCCCCACAGCCUCCACCAUGCGGCAGCCCUGGGAGCCUCUGACACACAAGGAGUUGAUCGAUUGCUCCCUGUCACCCGAAGUUCACAAGCUCCUCUGCUGGAAAGCUCCUCUGCAGAGGUCGUCUCCUUGUCCCCCAGGCCUCCUCUGACCCAUUAGGCUCUGUCAACUGGGUCUCCCUCAAGACCAAACACCGCGAAGUCAUCUCUGCAGCCUCCCUUCUUCCUAGGAAUUCUCGGGCAGGGACAGCACCCGUGUUCCCCCUUGACCCCCACCCAGCCCACUCUGCUGUGUUCUCCUGGGAGCUCCUCUGACCCCCAGGGCCUUUCAGAGAGCAAUCUUGGUGCCCAGCCGCUGUCCAUGGGCACAUCUCUUGAGGCACAUGGAGUUCUACCAAGCACCAAGCACGAAGCACCGUCAGCACCUGGCCCCACACCUUGUGGCAGCUGAACGUUGGUGGCCCUCAGUGAGUCUUCUGGUAUUCACGCCCUGCAUGUUGAUUCUGGGCUUGACCAGGGGACUUGCUGUGAUCCAGGGGACGUUCACAAGCAGAGCUUGCUACAAGUGCAAGGGUUGCUGAGGAACGUUUGUCCCACCCAGCCAGCCCCUAUACUGCAAAGCUCAGACCAGACCUCAGAGUGGCCACAGGACCUGCGGAGGGACAGAGAGAAUGGAGGCACCUGGCACAUCCCAGCCCCAAUGGGUUGACAGCCAGUCACAGAGCAGACCAAGCAAAGCAGAACCCCCCAGCAGAGCCCGUGGGCUCUCACUAUGAGCCAUUCAGUUUGGGGCCACUUUGUCACACGGGGAAGGAAUGCCUGCUAUUGUUCCCAGGCUGCAGAUGCUGGAUCUGAGGUUCGGGGAGAUUUCUUGAGGCUCCCGGUGUCACCAGUAAGCCAGGGUGGGCUGUGGCCCU